AAGACUCAAGGAAGAAACUGCAGUCU
rnacentral:tRNA from 1 species